UUGGUCAUUUAGAGGAAGUAAAAGUCGUAACAAGGUCUCCGUAGGUGAACCUGCGGAGGGAUCAUUACUGAGUGAGGGCCUCCGGCCCGACCUCCAACCCUUUGUAAUUACAACCUCGUUGCCUCGGGGGUGACCCGGCCGUUCUGCGGUUGAGGGCCCCCGGUGGACCAUGAUCAAACUCUGCGUCUCUGCGUCUGAGUAUCGAAGUAAAUUUGAUUUUAAAACUUUCAACAACGGAUCUCUUGGUUCUGGCAUCGAUGAAGAACGCAGCGAAAUGCGAUAAGUAAUGUGAAUUGCAGAAUUCAGUGAAUCAUCGAAUCUUUGAACGCACAUUGCGCCCAUUAGUAUUCUAGUGGGCAUGCCUGUUCGAGCGUCAUUUCAACCCCUAAGCACAGCUUAUUGUUGGGAACCUACGGCUUCGUAGUUCCUCAAAGACAUUGGCGGAGCGGCAGUGGUCCUCUGAGCGUAGUAAUCUUUUAUCUCGCUUCUGUUAGGUGCUGCCCCCCCGGCCGUAAAACCCCCAAUUUUUUCUGGUUGACCUCGGAUCAGGUAGGAAUACCCGCUGAACUUAAGCAUAUCAAUAAG
rnacentral:rRNA from 1 species